UUGACAGCUUUACUAUACUGACACGUCCAGCAUAUGAAAAUGCCUCAGGCAGGUCCUUCAGGAGGUAUCCAGAAGAAGACAUUGUUAUCCUAGGAGAUGACAGCUCGGUGCAUGCCGUUACCCCUGAAGAUUCCCAGUUGGACAGGAUAUGGAGGUGGAAGACAGUGAUAUUGAUGAUCCUGACCAUGUGUAGGUCUAGGCUAAUGCUUGUGUUUGUGACUUAGUCUUUAACAAAAAGUUUAAAAAGCAAAAUAAAUAAAUAAAUACGUAAAAAUAGAAAAGAUAUAGAUAAGAUUAAGAAUGUAAAGAAAUAAAAUAUUUUUGUACAGCUGUAUAAUGUGUUUGUAUUUUAAGCUAAGUAUUAUUACAAAAGAGUCAAAGAGUUAAAAAAAGUUUAUAUAGUAAAAACGUUAUAGUGAGCUAAGGUUAACUUAUUAUUAAGGAAAGGAAAAUAUUUUUAAAUAAAUGUAGUGUAGCCUAAGUGUACAGUGUGUAUAAAGCCUAGACUAGUGUAGAGUAAUAUCUUGGGGCUUCACAUUCACUCACCACUCACUGACUCACCCAGAGCAACUUCCAGUCCUGCAAGCUCCAUUCAUGGUCAGUGCUCUCUACAGGUGUACCAUUUAAAAUAUCUUUUAUGUGGUAUAUUUACUGUACCUUUUCUAUGCUUAGAUAUGUUUAGGUACACAAAUACUUACUAUUGUGUUACAAUUGUCUGCAGUAUUCAGUACAAUAACAUGCUAUACAGGUGUGUAGCCUAGGAGUAAUAGGCUGUACCUUAUGGCCAGGGUGUGUACUAGGCUAUACCAUCUAGGUUUGUGUAAGUACACUGUGUGUUUGCACAAUGACAAAAUCCCCUAAUGAUGCAUUUCUCAGAACGUAUCACCGUUGCUAAGCAAUGCAGGACUGUAGUUCAGUUUUGUAUAUUGAGCUUACAACCUAAGAUUUGGCUAAAUUCACUUAUUAGUUCUAGGAUAUUAUUUUUUAGAUUCCUUGGGGUUUUCUACAUAGAUCAUAAUGUCAUCUGCAUAUAGUGACAGUUUUAGCUCUUUUUAAAAAUGUAUAUGCUUUUUGUCGUGUCUUAUUGCAGUGUCUAAUCCUUAUUGAAUAACAGUGAUGAGAGUGGCUAUAUUUACUUUGUUCCCAGUCUUAGGGGGAAAGCAACCAGUCUUUCACCAUUAAGAACAAUGGUAGUUGGAGGUUUUUGUUUUGUUUUGUUUUUGUUUUUAUAUGCUCUUUAUCAAGUUGAAGAAGUUCUCCUCUUUAAUUUUCUGAUAGGGAUUAUUUUGAUUGAUUUUAGUAUUGAUAUUAAACCAAUCUUUUAUCCUGGAAUAUGCCUUACUUAUAUCAUGCUAUAUUUUUUUAUAUUUCUGAAUUUUAGUUGCUAAUGCUUUGUUAAACAUUUUUGUGCCUCUACUUAUGAAGGAUAUCGGCCUGUAGUUUUCUUUUUUUAUAUUACCUUUCUUUGGUUUUAGUAUCAAGGUAAUACUAACUUCAUA
rnacentral:lncRNA from 10 species